rnacentral:rRNA from 1 species
UGUGUGUCGUAGUUAACGCGUUAAACAGGGCGCCUGGGAAGUACGGCCGCAAGGCUAAAACCCAAAGGAAUUGACGGGGACCCGCACAAGCAGUGGAGCGCCUGGUUUAACUCGAUGGUCAGCGAAGAACCUCACCUAGGCUUGAACUGUAGCUGCACACUCCCAGAAACGGGAGAAUCCUUCGAGGGUGCUACAGAGGUGCUGCAUGGCUGUCGUCAGCUCGUGUCGUGAGAUGUAGGGUUAGGUCCCACAACGAGCGCAACCCCUAUUCAGUGUUAUAAUUACUCUGAAGACUGCCCUGUCCAUACGGGGAGGAAGGAGGGGACGACGUCCAGUCAUCAUGUCCCUGAUGUCUAGGGCUACACAGACGCUACAAUGUCCGGUACAAUGGCUUGCCAAACCGCGAGGUGGGCACAAUCCCAUCAAAGCCGGUCCCAGUUCGGAUUGCAGUCUGCAACUCGACUGCAUGAAGUUGGAAUUGCUAGUAAUCGCGAAUCAGCACGUCGCGGUGAUACGUUCUCGGGUCUUGACACACCGCCCGUCAGGGCACGGGAGUCGCUCUUGCUCGAAGUUCC